CACGGACCGCACGAACGUUAUUCGGUAUCACUGGGCUUAAAGGGUGCGUAGGCGGCUUUGCAAGUUGGGUGUGAAAGCCCUCGGCUCAACCGAGGAAUUGCGCUCAAUACUGCCGAGCUCGUGAGAGACAGAGGUAAGCGGAACUGAUGGUGGAGCGGUGAAAUGCGUUGAUAUCAUCAGGAACACCGGUGGCGAAGGCGGCUUACUGGGUCUUUUCUGACGCUGAGGCGCGAAAGCGUGGGGAGCGAACAGG
rnacentral:rRNA from 1 species